GCCCUUUCACGGCGGAAUCAUGGGUUCAAUUCCCGUACGGGUCACCA
rnacentral:tRNA from 1 species